rnacentral:rRNA from 1 species
AGAGUUUGAUCAUGGCUCAGAAUCAACGCUGGCGGCGUGCCUAACACAUGCAAGUCGCACGAGAAAGGGGCUUCGGCUCUGAGUAAAGUGGCGCACGGGUGAGUAACACGUGACUAAUCUACCCUCGAGUGGGGAAUAACUGAGAGAAAUCUUAGCUAAUACCGCAUAACACUUACGAGUCAAAGCAGUAAUGCGCUUGGGGAGGAGGUCGCGGCCGAUUAGCUAGUUGGCGGGGUAAUGGCCCACCAAGGCGAUGAUCGGUAUCCGGCCUGAGAGGGCGCACGGACACACUGGAACUGAAACACGGUCCAGACUCCUACGGGAGGCAGCAGUGGGGAAUUUUGCGCAAUGGGGGAAACCCUGACGCAGCAACGCCGCGUGGAGGAUGAAAUAUCUUGGUAUGUAAACUCCUUUCGAUGGGGAAGAUUAUGACGGUACCCAUAGAAGAAGCCCCGGCUAACUUCGUGCCAGCAGCCGCGGUAAUACGAGGGGGGCAAGCGUUGUUCGGAUUUAUUGGGCGUAAAGGGUGCGUAGGCGGUUUGAUAAGUCUGAUGUGAAAUCUAUGGGCUCAACCCAUAGUCUGCAUUAGAAACUGUCGGGCUUGAGUAUGGGAGAGGUGAGUGGAAUUUCCGGUGUAGCGGUGAAAUGCGUAGAUAUCGGAAGGAACACCUGUGGCGAAAGCGGCUCACUGGACCAUAACUGACGCUGAUGCACGAAAGCUAGGGGAGCAAGCAGGAUUAGAUACCCUAGUAGUCC